rnacentral:misc_RNA from 1 species
UACGUAGGCGGCAAGCGUUGUCCGGAAUCAUUGGGCGUAAAGGGAGCGCAGGUGGGACGGUAAGUCUUUCUUAAAAGUGCGGGGCUCACCCCCGUGAGGGGAAAGAAACUAUCGUUCUUGAGUGCAGGAGAGGAAAGCGGAAUUCCUAGUGUAGCGGUGAAAUGCGUAGAUAUUAGGAAGAACACCAGUGGCGAAGGCGGCUUUCUGGACUGUAACUGACACUGAGGCUCGAAAGCCAGGGGAGCGAACGGG